AAAGACAUUGAGAAGAGUACUUCAAUUCAGAAAAUUGGGUCAAGUAGACUGUCCUGGAAGAAAAUUUGUGGGGCAUUUUCUUGAUUAAUGAUUGAUGAGAGAGGGUCUAGCUACUGUGGUUAAUGCUACCCUGAGCUGGUGGUUGGUCUAGGAAGAUGUGCUAAAGAUUGACAAACAUUUGAUUGGACAAAAAGUCAAGCUUUCUCAUAUUGUUUCUGCCUCUGGUCCUACUUGAAUUCUUGCCAUGAUUUCCCUCAGUGAUUAGCUGUGAUUAGCAUGUAUAAGACAAGUGCACCCUUUUCUCCCUAAGAUGCUAUUGUUCAUGAUGUUUAUCACAGCAGUAUAUACCAAACUAGGGCAGAGAUAUUAAUUAAAAUUAUGAGUUUCAGCAUAAAAUUUCCAUAAAAAUUUCCAUAAAUAUACAUAACACACUUUGAUUAUAUUCAUUCAAAAAUUUAAAAUGUUUCACGUCUCAAGAGAACUAAAGGCAAAGAAUGAAACAGAAACAUAACCUAGGCCAAUAGGUUCUUACUCUACUCUUCUGUAAUGAGUUUCCCACAUUGCAAAAUGUAGAGUGGAUGGAUGUCAAGUGGGAAGAAAACAAGACUAUGAUUAGUGAUUAAACCAGGACAGAAUUUCACAGAACUAAAAUAUCAAAGCAAGGGUUAGAUUGUUGAAUUUGGCAGAACCAACAAAGAUAUCAAUGAAAAUAAGAAUCAUUUUGAACAUUAUAAGAUGGAAUAAAAAUUUACAGAAAUUACAUAAUAAGAAAAAUAGAUUUCAUAAAUUGAUUUAAAUUUAAAAGUCAGCAACCAAGUUAAUAAAAAAAAUUUAAAAGUCAGCAACAAAUAAGGUUGAUGAGAAAUACUUUAACAUAAGUUUGUCUCAUUGCUUUUUGUUUUUUGAACAGGAAGAAGAAACACAACAAGACAAACAAAACAAAACAAAAAACUGGGAAUGGUAAUGAUGGUGUCUUUGAAUUGCAAGGGUCACAAACUUAUAAUCAGAAUUCAAGGCCACGACCUUAGCCUUUCUGGUCUUCCAAGACUCAAAAGAUGCCCAGGAAUAUUUGAUUUAUUUUGCAGUGGAAUUUCAGUGAAAAUAAAAUAUGAAUGUCUC
rnacentral:lncRNA from 1 species